rnacentral:rRNA from 1 species
GACGUAGGGGGCGAGCGUUAUCCGGAUUCACUGGGCGUAAAGGGCGUGUAGGCGGUUACGUAAGUCCGGCGUGAAAAUUCACGGCUUAACUGUGAACGUGCGUCGGAUACUGCGUUGACUUGAGGGCGGUAGAGGUAGAUGGAACUAGCGGUGUAGCGGUGAAAUGCACAGAUAUCGCUAGGAACGCCGGUGGCGAAGGCGAUCUGCUGGGCCGUUCCUGACGCUGAGGCGCGAAAGCUAGGGGAGCGAACCGG